rnacentral:rRNA from 1 species
UUGACGGGACCCGCACAAGCGGUGGAUGAUGUGGUUUAAUUCGAUGCAACGCGAAAACCUUACCACCUUUGACAUGUACGGAACCCUUUAGAGAUAGAGGGGUGCUCGAAAGAGAGCCGUAACACAGGUGCUGCAUGGCUGUCGUCAGCUCGUGUCGUGAGAUGUUGGGUUAAGUCCCGCAACGAGCGCAACCCUUGUCAUUAGUUGCUACAUUCAGUUGGGCACUCUAAUGAGACUGCCGGUGACAAGCCGGAGGAAGGUGGGGAUGACGUCAAGUCCUCAUGGCCCUUAUAGGUGGGGCUACACACGUCAUACAAUGGCUGGUACAAAGGGUUGCCAACCCGCGAGGGGGAGCCAAUCCCAUAAAGCCAGUCGUAGUCCGGAUCGUAGUCUGCAACUCGACUACGUGAAGUCGGAAUCGCUAGUAAUCGUGGAUCAGAAUGUCACGGUGAAUACGUUCCCGGGUCUU